rnacentral:misc_RNA from 1 species
GACAGAGACAUCACCUGAAGAAAAAAAAGAGCAUCCCUUAAGUGUUUGAAAAGAUGAAAAAAACCGUAGUCUUCAACACUUAAUUUACAAUCUUUUCCCUAUAUUUGCAAACUUUCUAGCNNNNNNNUAGCUACGCUAAAUAUAAAUGCCUUGGUUAAGAGUCCCCUAUCAAUGCUGCAAGCAAGGACAAAGACCCCACCAAAAAUUAACCACUUUGGUAUCUU